GUGACCUCGGAUCGGGAAAGGAAACAAAG
rnacentral:rRNA from 1 species